rnacentral:rRNA from 1 species
AAAUAACGUGCCAGCAGCCGCGGUAAUACGUAGGGUGCAAGCGUUNUCCGGAAUUAUUGGGCGUAAAGAGUUUCGUAGGCGNUCUGUCGCNUCGGCUGUGAAAACUUGGGGNUCAAAUCCGAGCUUGCAGUCGAUACGGGCAGGCUAGAGUUCGGCAGGGGAGACUGGAAUUCCUGGUGUAGCGGUGAAAUGCGCAGAUAUCAGGAGGAACACCGGUGGCGAAGGCGGGUCUCUGGGCCGAUACUGACGCUGAGGAGCGAAAGCGUGGGGAGCGAACAGGAUUAGAUACCCUGGUAGUCCACGCCGUAAACGUUGGGCGCUAGGUGUGGGAUCCCUUACCACGGGUUCCGUGCCGCAGCUAACGCAUUAAGCGCCCCGCCUG